rnacentral:rRNA from 1 species
AGUGAACGCUGGCGGUAGGCCUAACACAUGCAAGUCGAACGGCAGCACAGUAAGAGCUUGCUCUUACGGGUGGCGAGUGGCGGACGGGUGAGGAAUACAUCGGAAUCUACUUUUUCGUGGGGGAUAACGUAGGGAAACUUACGCUAAUACCGCAUACGACCUACGGGUGAAAGCAGGGGAUCUUCGGACCUUGCGCGAUUGAAUGAGCCGAUGUCGGAUUAGCUAGUUGGCGGGGUAAAGGCCCACCAAGGCGACGAUCCGUAGCUGGUCUGAGAGGAUGAUCAGCCACACUGGAACUGAGACACGGUCCAGACUCCUACGGGAGGCAGCAGUGGGGAAUAUUGGACAAUGGGCGCAAGCCUGAUCCAGCCAUACCGCGUGGGUGAAGAAGGCCUUCGGGUUGUAAAGCCCUUUUGUUGGGAAAGAAAAGCAGCAGGUUAAUACACCGAUGUUCUGACGGUACCCAAAGAAUAAGCACCGGCUAACUUCGUG